rnacentral:rRNA from 1 species
AUUGAACGCUGGCGGCAUGCUUUACACAUGCAAGUCGAACGGGGCAAGGGGGCAACUCCUUGCUCAGUGGCGGACGGGUGAGUAAUACAUCGGAACGUAUCCUGUAGUGGGGGACAACCCAGCGAAAGUUGGGCUAAUACCGCAUACGCUCUUAGGAGGAAAGUGGGGGACCCGCAAGGGCCUCAUGCUAGAGGGGCGGCCGAUGUCCGAUUAGCUAGUUGGUGGGGUAAAGGCUUACCAAGGCGACGAUCGGUAGCUGGUCUGAGAGGAUGAUCAGCCACACUGGGACUGAGACACGGCCCAGACUCCUACGGGAGGCAGCAGUGGGGAAUUUUGGACAAUGGGGGCAACCCUGAUCCAGCCAUGCCGCGUGCGGGAAGAAGGCCUUCGGGUUGUAAACCGCUUUUGUUCGGGAAGAAAAGAUCACGCCUAAUAGGGGUGGUUCUUGACGGUACCGGAAGAAUAAGCACCGGCUAACUACGUG